ensembl:miRNA
UUUAUGUAUUUACUUGAUGUGUGUGUACACAUACAUGUAUGCAUGUCUCCAUGUGUGAGUACAUGCAUGCCACAAUGCACAUGUGGAGAUCA